rnacentral:rRNA from 1 species
CUACGGGUUGCUCCAGUCGAGAAUCUUCCACAAUGCACGAAAGUGUGAUGGAGCGACGUCGCGUGCGAGAUGAAGGCCUUCGGGUCGUAAAUCGUUUUUAUAAGGGAAGAAUUUAGAUGACAUUACCUUAUGAAUAAGGGGUUGCUAAUUGCGUGCCAGCAGCAGCGGUAAUACGCAAACCCCAAGCGUUAUCCGGAUUUAUUGGGCGUAAAGGGUGGGUAGGCGGAUAUAGCAGUCAGUCGUUAAAUCACUGGGCUCAACCCAGUAAUCGCGAUUGAAACACUAUGUCUAGAGAUAAGUAGAGGUCAACGGAACUCAUGGUGUAGCAGUGAAAUGCGUUGAUAUCAUGGGGAACACCAAAGGCGAAGGCAGUUGACUGGGCUUUAUCUGAGGCUGAGCCACGAAAGCGUGGGGAGUGAAGGGGAUUAGAUACCCGUGUAGUC